rnacentral:tRNA from 1 species
GGAGAGUUGGCCGAGUGGACUAAGGCGCACGACUGGAAAUCGUGUAAGCGUUAAUAGCGCUUCUAGGGUUCAAAUCCCUAACUCUCCGCCA